rnacentral:lncRNA from 1 species
UUGGCUCCAUUUGUUAGUGGAGGGAUUGGCAUAGGAUCAACUAACUCCUUUUCGUUUGAGUUGUUUUUCAAUCUUAAUCACCAUGUGGACCAUGUCCAUCACUUCAACAUAGUGUUGUAAUUCAACUAUGUUGGUGAUGUCACAGUUUAAGCUCGCAAGGAAUCUGGCCAUUGUUGCCUUUCGAUCCUCCUUGAUAUCAGCCCGG